AGUGAACGCUGGCGGCGUGCUUAACACAUGCAAGUCGAACGGAUGAAAUAAGCUUGCUUAUUUCGUUAGUGGCGCACGGGUGAGUAAUGUAUAGCUAAGCUGCCCUUUAGGGGGGGACAAAAGUUGGAAACGACUGCUAAUAACCAAUACUCAUUCUUACCACCAGGUAUGUUGGGAAAGAUUGAUUGCUAAAGGAUGGGGCUUUAUGGUAUCAGCUAGUUGGUGGGGUAACGGCCUACCAAGGCUAUGACGCCUACCUGGUCUGAGAGGAUGAUCAGGCACACUGGAACUGAGACACGGUCCAGACUCCUACGGGAGGCAGCAGUGGGGAAUAUUGCACAAUGGAGGAAACUCUGAUGCAGCAACGCCGCGUGGAGGAUGACGCAUUUCGGUGUGUAAACUCCUGUUAUAAGGGAAGAUAAUGACGGUACCUUAUGAAUAAGCACCGGCUAACUCCGUGCCAGCCGCCGCGGUAA
rnacentral:rRNA from 1 species